rnacentral:snRNA from 1 species
GGAUAUGAGGGCGAGCUGGCUGCGACAUCUGUCACCCCAUUGAUCGCCAGGGUUGAUUCGGCUGAUCUGGCUGGCUAGGCGGGUGUCCCCUUCCUCCCUCACCACUCCAUGUGCGUCCCUCCCGAAGCUGCGCACUCGGUUGACCUUCCCCGCUAGAGGAGGACUGGUCUUCGGUCAAGGGUAUAUGAGUAGCUGCGCUCCCCUGCUAGAACCUCCAAACAAGCUCUCAAGAAUGAAAAAGCUUUCAGUGAUUAAAGGGGUAAAAUUCAUUCAUUUGUAAAUGUCACUUAAAUGAAAGCCUUUU